rnacentral:rRNA from 1 species
AGUGAACGCUGGCGGUAGGCCUAACACAUGCAAGUCGAACGGCAGCACAGUAAGAGCUUGCUCUUACGGGUGGCGAGUGGCGGACGGGUGAGGAAUACAUCGGAAUCUACUUUUUCGUGGGGGAUAACGUAGGGAAACUUACGCUAAUACCGCAUACGACCUACGGGUGAAAGCAGGGGAUCUUCGGACCUUGCGCGAUUGAAUGAGCCGAUGUCGGAUUAGCUAGUUGGCGGGGUAAAGGCCCACCAAGGCGACGAUCCGUAGCUGGUCUGAGAGGAUGAUCAGCCACACUGGAACUGAGACACGGUCCAGACUCCUACGGGAGGCAGCAGUGGGGAAUAUUGGACAAUGGGCGCAAGCCCGAUCCAGCCAUACCGCGUGGGUAAAGAAGGCCUUCGGGUUGUAAAGCCCUUUUGUUGGGAAAGAAAAGCAGCAGGUUAAUACCCCGCUGUUCUGACGGUACCCAAAGAAUAAGCACCGGCUAACUUCGUG